rnacentral:misc_RNA from 1 species
GAUGAAGAACGUAGCGAAAUGCGAUAAGUAGUGUGAAUUGCAGAUUUCAGUGAAUCAUCGAGUCUUUGAACGCACAUUGCGCCCCCUGGUAUUCCGGGGGGCAUGCCUGUCCGAGCGUCAUUGCUGCCCUCAAGCACGGCUUGUGUGUUGGGCCUCCGUCCUCCUCCCGGGGGACGGGCCCGAAAGGCAGCGGCGGCACCGCGUCCGGUCCUCGAGCGUAUGGGGCUUCGUCACCCGCUCUUGUAGGCCCGGCCGGCGCUUGCCGACACAUCAAUCUUUUUUCCAGGUUGACCUCGGAUCAGGUAGGGAUACCCGCUGAACUUAAGCAUAUCAAUAAGCGGAGGA